UCUUGAAGAAGAUGAUGGUGGGCUCUUCCCACCACCAGCAGCUAUAGAGGAAGGGGAAGUCUGUGGCUGACAAGGGCCCGCCCCCGCAACUGUGGUGGCAGAGAAGGUGGUGGCGCGGUUAGGGCAGCCACAACACCCCAUCAUCUGGGCGAGGCGGUAGCAUCAUACUUGUCAUCAUCCCGUCACAUAGCUUUGCUGUUGAGUGCAAGAAAUCACAUGCAAGCUGGAUUGUGUUAGACAAGAUUUGAAGCAUGAGGAGAAGCAUUGUGGGGGAGAAGCUUCAGUGCAACAUUGUUGUUCUAUAGGGAUCAACAUCCUCAAGAUCGCUUGGAAAACUUUCACAAAAACUCAUAAUGCAAGCAUAUGUUUUAUUGGGAAAGUUUUUCAAGCUGAAUUUCUGAAAGCCUCCUCACUGCUUUAGUUAUGCUGAAUUUGAAUUUGCAACUAGGGGUUUCUAACAAGUAAAUUUCUUAGCUAAAGGUGGAUUUUGGUCUGUUCAUCGACGUGUCCUUUCUGAUGGUGGCGUUGUUUGUUAGCUACAAAAUCAUCAAUCAAAGAUUGUAAUUAUAUUGCGUUAUU